GGACAUACAAAAUUGGAGGUUGUGAUUUAAGCAGCAUUGCUCCUCCUUGUACCAGGUGGAUUGAAAUGAUGGCUCCUGGAUUAGUAAUAUGUAAUUCAAGGAUGGUAGCUUGCUUAGAAUCUUCGUUAGCUUGGGUACUAGUAGUGUUUUUUUGUUUCAGUAAAAACUAGUGGUCUCUUUUGUAA